rnacentral:rRNA from 1 species
GAGACCUCAGGUCAGGCGGGGCUACCCGCUGAGUUUAAGCAUAUCAAUAGCCGGGAGAAACAA